rnacentral:rRNA from 1 species
AUUGAACGCUGGCGGCAUGCCUUACACAUGUAAGUCGAACGGUAACAGGUCUUCGGAUGCUGACGAGCGGCGAACGGGUGAGUAAUACAUCGGAACGUGCCCAAUCGUGGGGGAUAACGCAGCGAAAGCUGUGCUAAUACCGCAUACGAUCUAUGGAUGAAAGCGGGGGACCGUAAGGCCUCGCGCGAUUGGAGCGGCCGAUGUCAGAUUAGGUAGUUGGUGGGGUAAAGGCCCACCAAGCCAACGAUCUGUAGCUGGUCUGAGAGGACGACCAGCCACACUGGGACUGAGACACGGCCCAGACUCCUACGGGAGGCAGCAGUGGGGAAUUUUGGACAAUGGGCGCAAGCCUGAUCCAGCAAUGCCGCGUGCAGGAAGAAGGCCUUCGGGUUGUAAACUGCUUUUGUACGGAACGAAACGGUCUGGGUUAAUACCCUGGGCUAAUGACGGUACCGUAAGAAUAAGCACCGGCUAACUACGUGCCAGCAGCCGCCGUAAGAC